UCUACGGUUACGACUACAAUAAUCAUUAUUUACUUUGCGAGGACGUAAGUGUGCCAGACUGCUAAAUUGUUUUAUUAUUCCUACAAUAUAAACUAGGGGAUAUAGGGGGUAACACUGUCCCUAUAAAUUCCUUUUUUCCUUUUCUUUUUUGUCCAGAAUUGAACAAAAAAGAAAUUAUAGAAGAUGUUUUCUUCCCCCAUUAAGUCCGAGCCAUAGAGUAAGAGUGAGAUGAGUUUUCCAAAUUCAUCAUAGACUUUCCCUAUGGCUUGAUAGAAGUAAGAAGCAAAGAGUUGUAACUUAAAGAGUCGUAACUUAAAGAAAAAAACGGACAGGGCUGACAGAUUUACCUGAUGUAAAGAAGAUCCUAAAAGUCUAUGAUUAGUCGACUCUCUCCAUUUAACACUUUCCUCUCUCUCCUUUUUUCCACUGACUCAAUGCUAGUUUAUUAGAUUCUUGUUUAAAAGAAUCAAAAAAGUUCAAUAGAACUAAGAACACAUAAAAAAUAGCAUAGAGGAUCAAGGCCAUUACCAAAAGUUCCUCCCAAGGAUCCUAUCCUAUUGGGUAUCUGUUCCCUGCCUUUUCCCGCUAGGAUUGGAAAUCUUAUAUUUUCCAUAUACCAUUGAAUCCUUGGGGUUCCAGAAUCCGCCUAUUUUACUAGCCUUCGGAAACGGAAAACCAUGAACCAAGAAGAGUUGGGUAUGUUUUUUUUUCUUAAUUUUAUUUUGAGCUCUCAAGAUAUCAAUACAUAUACAAUCUAUACAUAAUGUCUCUCUCUAUAUCUCUAUAUAUUAUAUAUAUAUAAUAUGUACAUUAUGCAGUAGACCCAUAAUGGGAAAUCAAAGUGGCAAAUUUUUGAAUUAAAUAAAAAGCCCUUUUAACUCAGUGGUAGAGUAAUGCCAUGGUAAGGCAUAAGUCAUCGGUUCAAAUCCGAUAAAGGGCUUUUUAAAUUAGUGGUAGAGUAAUCUCGUGCUAAGACGUAAGUCAUUGGUUCGAAUCUGAUAGAGUACUUUUCUACUAAAUUGAUUCGCUUUUUUCUUUGUUUUUGAAGCUUUCUCUUUAGAGAAUUUUAUGACUUAGUGCGGGAUGAAUGCAUUUUUUGGUCUGAACACUAAAUGAAGCACGGAAUGGAAAUAAAAAAAAAAUUGGACUCUUUUUCAUCUUAUCUUAGAUCAAUAAAAUAACUACCUGUACUGAACUAAUCUAGAAUCCCUUUUAGUAAUCCAUUCUUAUUCUAUACAUUUAAAAUGAAUUUCCCUAAAAGGUAGAGGAUGAUCCAUGAAUUAAUCUAACCAUCAACUAAAAAAAUCCUAGAUGAAAACAUAGCAGAAAAGUUAGAAAAACUCUUUGCUUUGGAUCUAGUUAUACUUUUCGAGUAUAUUGACAAUUCAAAAAAACUGCUCAUACUAUGAUUAUAGUAUAAUCACGAGCGGUUGUAUAUGGCCCUAUCGUCUAGUGAUGCCCCUAUCGUCUAGUGGUUCAGGACAUCUCUCUUUCAAGGAGGCAGCGGGGAUUCGACUUCCCCUGGGGGUAGGGAGUAUUAUGAAAGGAGGUUAAUCAUAGAUUAGCAAAAACCCUAGAAUAAAUUCUUCCUGGGUCGAUGCCCGAGUGGUUAAUGGGGACGGACUGUAAAUUCGUUGACAAUGUCUACGCUGGUUCAAAUCCAGCUCGGCCCAAAAAUCUAGGGCUUCGUGAAUAUGAACUAAAUCCUUUUGUUUUUCUCCCAUAAAAUAAAAUGUCUGAUCUAUAGAAAUAAAAGAGAAAUAAAAAAGGGGAUUUUUUUUUCUAAUCCAUAUCUCUCUCAUUCCUUUCUUACAAACAAAAGAGUUUUUCUUGUUGAAGGGUGGAUUAUUAUCCAUUUUUAGUGAUAAAAAAUCACGACAUACUAGUUAUGUCACUCUCACUAUACCCACGUAUAAUAUAAUAUUAAUAUGUGGGUAUGUAGUAUAUGAUUCGUCUAUUUCUUAGAGUACGACAGACGAAUCGAAUCUUCUUAUGGUUCUAUUUAAGAAUGGGUAUGCCAUACACCCCGCGGGGAUUGUAGUUCAAUUGGUCAGAGCACCGCCCUGUCAAGGCGGAAGCUGCGGGUUCGAGCCCCGUCAGUCCCGAACUAGGGUUCAAUGAAUGGAGAAAUUCAUAUUUCCUUUUUCCAUGAAAAAAAAGGGGCAGGGAGCAAGAUCAAAUACCCAUAGGGCACCCUUACUUCACUUUUUUAUUUUGCAUCUCUCAUUAAAGAGGGAGGGAAGGAGUAUAGGAAUUUUUUUCACUACUCCCGAUCGAUAAAGAUAAAGAAAGACACACAUACGAUAUGUGGAUUAGUAGAAUUUUAGGAUAUUACUCUAUCUUUCUUUAUGAUGAUACCAUCCUCAUCUUAAUUUCCUAUUCCACUGUUAUGGAAUAGAGUACCGGUAUUUUACCGGAAUCCAUACAUAAAUUGUAUUCCCUUUUUAUUUCAGACCUCUUUUCCCCAUCUCACUUCUACUGCUUAUUUGGAUGUCUAUGUGACCCAUAGAAAGUUGCUCAUAUAAUACAUACAUAAUUGUAUGUAUAACUAUAAGAAAAAGGAAGAGAAAUUGUAUAAGAUUAAGAAAGCUCGUGGGUUAGAGAUAUAGAAAAGAAAAAGUAGAAAAAAAAGGAUUAAAAAAGAGGGAAUUCCUAAUCCAAUCAAAAAACCCAUUUUGGUCUUAGUAUGGAUAUAGGAUCUUCCUAUGUUAUACUAUAUAACUCUCAUCCAUGAAUUGAUUUGAUAGAUCCGAUAUUCAUAAUAUUGAAUUGAUUCAGUAUUAUCAGAAUGCAAGCCCUACCCUUGAAUUUACAAGAUACCCCCUUUUUCCUCUCCAUGGGAUUACAUCCCGAGUUAUUGUGAAAAUAAAAAAUAAAGAGGUUAUGGAAGUCAAUAUUCUCGCAUUUAUUGCUACUGCACUGUUCAUUCUAAUUCCUACUUCUUUUUUACUUAUUAUUUAUGUAAAAACAGUCAGCCAAAAUAAUUAAGUGGAAUUCCAAUUAAUCAUUGAAGAAAUGAAAAAGGGAUUAAAUAAAAAAAAUCCAAGUCUUAAAUGAAAGGAUCUGGUUGGAAUCUUAAAGUGUGGUAGAAAGAACUACAUAUAGUUUUUUUCUACGACACUUUAGAGUCUUUCUAUUAUAUUAUCUUUGAAUCUACAUAGAAUAGAUUAGUAGAUUGAAAUAGUUAAGUAGUCUAAUUCAAUUUCUUUUUUCAUUGCAUCCACUUAAUUUCAAUCAGGUCAAAAUAAAAAAAUCGAAGACAAUUCUUGACCAAAGAAUCCAUGGAAGGAAAGAAAAAUAAUAUAAGAAUAGACUAUAGUAAAAAGUAAAAGGAAAAAACCAGCGAAUCUUUCAUGCUUAAAUAUCCCGCGAGAUGCUUCAAAAGAGAAUAAAAAUUAUUCUAAGAAUAAAGAAAGAGUAUAAAACAAAUGGAAAAUGUGUGAUAUGCCGUGAAUAGUUCCGUGGAAGAAAGUCUAAUUUUCUUAUGUAUAGAACUUUUUUUAACCAUUAGUCAUUUCUAGUAGAAAUUCUUAAUUGGUAUAAUGGCUCUUUCUUACAAUACAAGAGUUUCUUACAGGAGUGAAACAAAACUAAAGAAAAAGAUUAAAGAAUAACGUUUGACAAAAUAAUUAAUGCAAAACGAUCAAUUAAAAAAAGAAUUGAUACAACAAUUUGAUUACUUAAUCAAUUAGUAGUAUCGUAUCCCUAGAGUCCACUCCUUCCCCAUACUACUAGUGAAAGAGAAAAUGUAAAGACUACCAUUAAAGCAGCCCAAGCGAGACUUACUAUAUCCAUCUAAAUUAUGUCUCCUAUUUCUAUGAAGGGAUUAUUCUACUAUUGAUCAAUAAUCAUAGUGGAAUCAAGGGUACAGAGUCAAAAAGGGCUUCUGCCCUAAGGCCAUGGAUCAAUCAGUUCAAGGAAUUUACUCCUAACAAAUUCUUAUAGGAAUUCUUGUAGAAUUAGAGAGCAUUAAAAAUACGAUACUAUAAAGCCCUUUUUUCCUUACCUUAAAAAAGAAAGAGUACGGGAAUGAUGUCCUGAAUAGAAGAAGCGGGAAUAGGAAGAUUUUUUAUUCCUUUUGUUACUCUAGUGUAUGUAGGUCACAUAAGAUGUACGAUAAAAAAAUGUAUGAUAAUUAGGAAGUCUUGAUAUUCUUUCGUGGAGUCCCUUCUGGAAUCUUAGAUUGAAAAAGAGAAGAAUGCCCCUUAGGGACCUUUCUUUGGAUACCAAGAUUUCUGACAUCUUAUCCUCGUAUUUAAAAAUUCUCAAAUCGAAUCAAUUAAGAACCAAUUCAAAUUCAUAUAAUAAAAGAAUAAGGAAACACUACCUCACCCCUAUUGAUAACCAUUUUGGCCACUACCGCCAAAACAAACCCUAACCCUAGUUUAAGGAUAGAACUAUGGUAUGGUUUCUCUAAACCCAGUAUCGGCAGGCUUAGUUACUCUCUUGCCCGAACUUAUGCGAAGUAAAAAUUGAUUGAAUUCGAUCAGUACUAGAAAACCUAAGUAUUUUAUUGAUCAGGCGGCACCCAGAUUUGAACUGGGGAUAAAGGAUUUGCAGUCCCCUGCCUUACCGCUUGGCCAUGCCGCCAAAAAAUCCGAUCGAAAAUCUAGAAAACAGCAAGUAUUCAUCCACGUUUUCUUACGAAAAGCCCCUUUCUUUUAUUUUGAAUAUAAUUAAACUUACUUUUUUCCAAUCUUUUUCAAAAAAGAUACUCCUGCUUUUUUUGAUCCAGUUUCGAUUAUUCUCCUCGAUAGAUUCUAUCUUAAAACAUACAUUGCUAACACAAUAAAACUUCCCAUUUCUUUCUAUUGAGAUGAAAAAGAAGAAAAGUGGAUUUCUAGUCACAGGCUGCAAAAUUCAGAACAAAUUGGAACCAUUAACUAGAAUUCUCUUUCUUUUUUGAAUUGCAGUAGUGAACUACUCUUAAAUCGGUAUUAUCUCCCCCCCUUCAAUUUCAAUGGCAUAAUAAAAUAUUAUGGCUUUAUGCUUAAUCCGUGUAUAGGUGAACUUUAGGUCCGAGCAGCAUUAUUAUCCAAAGAUCCCCUUUAUGUACAUAUCUCUAUGGGGAAUCGUGCUUUAAUUUUUCAAAGUAUUAAAUUAAAUAUCUUGAAUAAAAAAAGGAAAUUUGCUCUGAUAUUAGAGUAUAACCUGACUAUCUUGGCCUACCCAAGUGAAAUUACGAUAAAAGAAAAGCAUGGAUAUGGGGAGAGGUGGAUAAUUAGAUUGGCAUGUACUUAAAAAAGGGACUUACUUUAUUUUAGAAUUCCACAAUGAAAUACUUAAUUUUCUAGCAAUUAUACUACUCCGAUCCGAAAUAAAAAAGAACCCUCAAAUUAUUUUUAGAAAUUAAAGUAAGCACGCUAUUCUAAAUCGAAGUAAAGUAAAACUUUCUAGUGUAUUAUAUUACGGCUUUAUUACAUUCAUAGAAAGGGGAUAAAAUGAGAAAUCUUUGCCAUUCAAUCUGAUUAGAAUAUUAUAAAGUAUAAGUGGCAUAAUUUUUUUUGUAGGAAUAUUUUAGCAAUUCAUUUUCAUUUCAUUUGUACCCCUGGUAAACUAGAAUUUUCGUCGAAAUGGUCUCUAUUCAUAUGUAUGAAAUACAUAUAUGAAAUACGUAUGUGGAGUUCCCUAGAAUUUCAUGUGAUUCAGUAAACAGAAUAUAGAUUCCAUGAUUGCUAGAUCAAUCCGUAGGGAUUGAUGAAGAGUGAGCUGAUAAUGGAAUUUUUCUUUGAUAAACAGGAAACUUAAGAUUAAGAUGCUCCGGAAUGGAAACGAGGGAAUGUCCACAAUACCCGGAUUUAGUCAGAUCCAAUUCGAGGGAUUUUUUAGGUUCAUUAAUCAAGCCUUGGCAGAAGAACUUGACAAGUUUCCAACAAUUAAAGAUCCAGAUCACGAAAUUGCAUUUCAAUUAUUUGCGAAAGGAUAUCAAUUGCUAGAACCCUCGAUAAAAGAAAGAGAUGCUGUGUAUGAAUCACUCACCUAUUCUUCCGAAUUAUAUGUAUCUGCGAGAUUAAUUUUUGGUUUCGAUGUGCAAAAGCAAACCAUUUCUAUCGGAAACAUUCCUAUAAUGAAUUCCUUAGGAACCUUUAUUAUAAAUGGAAUAUACCGAAUUGUGAUCAAUCAAAUAUUGCUAAGUCCUGGUAUUUACUACCGCUCGGAAUUAGAUCAUAAGGGAAUUUCUAUCUACACCGGGACUAUAAUAUCAGAUUGGGGAGGGAGAUCGGAAUUAGCAAUUGAUAAAAAAGAAAGGAUAUGGGCUCGCGUGAGUAGAAAACAAAAGAUAUCUAUUCUAGUUCUAUCAUCAGCUAUGGGUUCGAAUCUAAGAGAAAUUCUAGAUAAUGUUUCCUACCCUGAAAUUUUCUUGUCUUUCCCGAAUGCUAAGGAGAAGAAGAGGAUUGAGUCAAAAGAAAAAGCUAUUUUGGAGUUUUAUCAACAAUUUGCUUGUGUAGGUGGGGACCUGGUCCUGGAGGGUUGACGGGGAGAACCGCAAGUUUUCGGAGCCGAGAUAUUCAUCCGAGUCACUAUGGGCGUAUUUGUCCAAUUGACACGUCUGAAGGAAUCAAUGUUGGACUUACUGGAUCCUUAGCAAUUCAUGCGAGAAUUGAUCACUUGUGGGGAUCUAUAGAGAGUCCGUUUUAUGAAAUAUCUGCUGAGAAAGCAAAAGAAAAAAAAGAGAGACAGGUGGUUUAUCUAUCACCAAAUAGAGAUGAGUAUUAUAUGAUAGCAGCAGGAAAUUCUUUGUCCUUGAAUCAAGGUAUUCAGGAAGAACAGGUUGUUCCAGCUAGAUACCGCCAAGAAUUCUUGACUAUUGCAUGGGAACAGAUUCAUGUUAGAAGUAUUUUUCCUUUCCAAUAUUUUUCUAUUGGGGGUUCUCUCAUUCCUUUUAUUGAGCACAAUGAUGCGAAUCGGGCUUUAAUGAGUUCUAAUAUGCAGCGCCAAGCAGUUCCACUUUCUCGGUCCGAGAAAUGCAUUGUUGGAACUGGAUUGGAACGCCAAACAGCUCUAGAUUCGAGGGUUUCCGUUAUAGCCGAACGCGAGGGAAAGAUCAUUUCUACUGAUAGUCAUAAGAUACUUUUAUCAAGUAGUGGGAAGACUAUAAGUAUUCCUUUAGUUAACCACCGUCGCUCUAACAAAAAUACUUGUAUGCACCAAAAACCUCGGGUUCCACGGGGUAAAUCCAUUAAAAAAGGACAAAUUUUAGCAGAAGGAGCUGCUACAGUUGGGGGGGAACUUGCUUUAGGAAAAAACGUAUUAGUAGCUUAUAUGCCAUGGGAAGGUUACAAUUUUGAAGACGCAGUACUAAUUAGCGAACGUUUGGUAUAUGAGGAUAUUUAUACCUCUUUUCACAUCCGGAAAUAUGAAAUUCAGACGGAUACGACAAGCCAGGGCUCCGCUGAAAAAAUCACUAAAGAAAUACCACAUCUAGAAGAACAUUUACUCCGCAAUUUGGACAAAAAUGGAGUUGUUAGGUUGGGAUCCUGGGUAGAAACUGGUGAUAUUUUAGUAGGUAAAUUAACGCCUCAGAUAGCGAGCGAAUCAUCAUAUAUCGCAGAAGCUGGAUUAUUACGGGCCAUAUUCGGCCUUGAGGUUUCCACUUCAAAAGAAACUUCUCUGAAAUUACCUAUAGGUGGAAGAGGGCGCGUUAUCGAUGUGAAAUGGAUCCAAAGGGACCCCCUCGACAUAAUGGUUCGUGUAUAUAUUUUACAGAAACGUGAAAUCAAAGUUGGGGAUAAAGUAGCCGGAAGACAUGGGAAUAAAGGGAUCAUUUCCAAAAUUUUGCCUAGGCAAGAUAUGCCCUAUUUGCAAGAUGGAACACCCGUUGAUAUGGUCUUCAAUCCCUUAGGAGUACCCUCCCGAAUGAAUGUGGGACAAAUAUUUGAAAGCUCGCUCGGAUUAGCGGGGGAUCUGCUAAAGAAACAUUAUAGAAUAGCACCCUUUGAUGAGAGAUAUGAGCAAGAGGCUUCAAGAAAACUUGUGUUUUCAGAAUUAUAUGAAGCCAGUAAAGAAACAAAAAAUCCAUGGGUAUUUGAACCCGAGUACCCGGGAAAAAGCAGAAUAUUUGAUGGAAGAACAGGCGACCCCUUUGAGCAACCUGUUCUAAUAGGGAAGUCCUAUAUCUUAAAAUUAAUUCAUCAAGUUGAUGAGAAAAUUCAUGGGCGUUCUACUGGGCCCUACUCACUUGUUACACAACAACCGGUUAGAGGAAGAGCCAAGCAAGGGGGACAACGAGUAGGAGAAAUGGAAGUUUGGGCUUUAGAAGGAUUUGGUGUUGCUCAUAUUUUACAAGAGAUACUUACUUAUAAAUCUGACCAUCUUAUAGCUCGCCAAGAAAUACUUAAUGCUACGAUCUGGGGAAAAAGAAUACCUAAUCAUGAGGAUCCUCCAGAAUCUUUUCGAGUGCUCGUUCGAGAACUACGAUCUUUGGCUCUAGAACUGAAUCAUUUCCUUGUAUCUGAAAAGAACUUCCAGGUUAAUAGGGAGGAAGUUUGAUCGGAAUAAAUAUAAAUUCUUUUCUUAUUUCUAUUUUAUGAUUGACCAAUAUAAACAUCAACAACUUCAAAUUGGACUCGUUUCCCCUCAACAAAUAAAGGCUUGGGCUAACAAAAACCUACCUAAUGGAGAAGCCGUUGGCGAAGUCACAAGGCCCUCUACUUUUCAUUAUAAAACCGAUAAACCAGAAAAAGAUGGAUUGUUUUGCGAAAGAAUCUUUGGACCCAUAAAAAGCGGGAUUUGCGGUUGUGGCAAUUCUCGAGCGAGCGGAGCUGAAAACGAAGACGAAAGAUUUUGCCAAAAAUGCGGGGUAGAAUUUGUGGAUUCUCGGAUACGAAGAUAUCAAAUGGGAUACAUCAAACUCGCAUGUCCCGUGACUCAUGUGUGGUAUUUGAAAGGUCUUCCUAGUUAUAUCGCGAAUCUUUUAGAUAAACCUCUUAAGAAGUUGGAGGGCCUAGUAUACGGCGAUUUCUCUUUUGCUAGGCCCAGCACUAAAAAACCCACUUUUUUACGAUUACGAGGUUUAUUCGAAGAGGAAAUUGCAUCCUGUAACCACAGCAUUUCUCCCUUUUUUUCUACCCCAGGCUUUGCAACAUUUCGAAAUCGGGAAAUUGCGACAGGAGCAGGUGCUAUUAGAGAACAAUUAGCAGAUUUGGAUUUGCGAAUUAUUAUAGAGAAUUCUUUGGUCGAAUGGAAGGAAUUAGAAGACGAGGGGUAUAGUGGAGAUGAGUGGGAAGAUAGAAAAA